AAUUAAAACCUACAAACCCUAAUCAUAACUCUCUUUGCUACCCUUCAGCCGCCACCCCUCUCCCUCACCCGCGAAGCACUCACCCACGCCGAGAGAGAAGAGAAGAACGGAGGAGGGAUAAGCUGUCCGGCCGCCGUCGUCGUCCAUGGAGCUGUGAGGAGCUCCGUUGCUGUCGCGCGCCAGAGGAGAGGAAGAGAGAUCAGGAAGAGAGAGGACAGGGGGAGAAGGAAGCACGCGAUGGAGAAGGGGGCGCUACUUGCCCGCUACACCUCGUCGUCGUCGGUGUUGGGGCUGCUGCGGGGUGUGCCGUCGCCGUCGAACUUGGUGGCUAACAUAUAAUGCAUAAGCCAGGACCUGUUAGAGGAACGAUUUUUUCUUUCUACUGGACCUGUAGGUAUAUCCAUUGCUUAACUGAUAGAUGGUGAACUGAAGGGAUUUGGUCAAUUGCAUCCAUGAUUCCAAGGAGUGGAGACUUUAGGAACAAGAUAUAGCUCAUCAAUUUUCCUUAACCGGGCUCCACCUGGACAGCUUCUACUAUUGAAUUUCAUUGGAGGAGCUACCAAUCCUGGAAUGUUAUCAAAGAUGGAUAGUGAACUCAUUCAAGUAGCUGAUCGAGAUUUGCGAAAAAUCCUUAUAAACCCAAAUGCCAAUAAUCCAACUGUAUUAGGUGUGAAACUGUGGCCUAAAGCUGUUCCACAGUUCUUAAUUGGCCAUGUUGAGCUACUAAAUGUUGCUAAAGCCGCUCUCAAAGACACCGGCUUUGCGGGGAUGUUCCUUGGGGAAAACUACGUGUCUGGUGUGGCCUUGGGAGCAUGUGUUGAAGGAGCCUACGAGUUAGCUGCCAAAGUAAAUGAUGUAGCCAGCAACGGAUCCACACUUUGUCGACGAAGAGAGGAACGCGAUGGCCAGAGAGGAGAAGGAGUGUUUCGCGAGGAGAAGGAGGCGCUGCCCGCACCGCCGUUCAUACCUGUCAUUUCUCGAGCUCGCAGUCGCUGCGUCUUCAAUGUGCUGGCCAUUUUUAAUAACAUGGAAUGAAAUUAUGCCAAGUAGCAUGAUCCUACUUUUUUGGCACAUGAAUGUUUUAAGGAGGACAUAAUAUGAAGAAAAUAUUUUCCGUAGCAAUAUGAGAUGGGAUGGGUCUCAUAUAUAAAUAUUUUAGUUAUCUAAAUGUAAUAUUUUAAUGUGUUCUGUACUUUUUAUAAACAGAUUUUACUUGGUAUUAAAUGUAAUGGAUAAAUUACACUCUAUUUUUAUU